UGGGUAGUCCGCACGAGCGCACCUUACUUUUAGUUGCUACCAUUCAGUUGGGCACUCUAAAAGAACUGCCAGUGAUAAGCUGGAGGAAGGUGGGGAUGACGUCAAGUCCCCAUGGCCCUUACGUGUUGGGCUACACACGUGCUACAAUGGUACUUACAAUGAGAUGCGAAGAGGCGACUCUUAGCCAAUCCCAAAAAGGUACCUCAGUUCGGAUUGUACUCUGCAACUCGAGUACAUGAAGCUGGAAUUGCUAGUAAUCGCGGAUCAGCGCGCCGCGGUGAAUACGUUCCCGGGUCUUGUACACACCGCCCGUCACACCAUGGAAGUUGGUUACACCUUAAGGCAAAGUGUAAAAUCUUUGACUACGGUACGAUCAACGACUGGGGUGAAGUCGUAACAAGGUAGCCGUAGGGGAACCUGCGGCUGGAUCACCUCCUUUCU
rnacentral:rRNA from 1 species